UCACAGUUCUGCAAAAAGAAAUGUUUGAAGAGAAUUUGAGUUGAAAUUUAUCACAAACAUUCACUUUUGCUGUCACUCCAGGACCAGCCACAGGAUUGCAUGAAAACAAGGGUUUUUAAGGGUGGGGAUAGUUGUCUCUACCAACACCAGUCCUAAUUUGUAGGUGGGCUAAUAUGAAAUGGUACUGCAGACUGGUGGGUGCAACUUGUCCAAGGAUGUUUGGAGUGGACUAUGGCUUACCUGAUGUCCCCAGAGAGGGCAAAGCACAUGGUCUUGGUUUCUUUUCUUCUCUCUUUCUUGCAAUAAUUCAAGGAGGAGAGUGUGAGCAAGUGGAGGACUGAGUCUCUUACACCAUGGCCUGCAUCACCCAGAUGCAAAAAUGGGUUUUGUAGAUGACUGUGACAUCAUUGAAGAAAAGUACCACUAUGACCUCUGAGAAGAAAAGAGAAUGUACCUUUCCCAAGCUCCAGGGAGUCUGCAUGGUAGCUAAGAAAUUGAAAAAAUUUCUGGCACUGGCAGAAGUUCAAAAAACAGCCUUGGGACCUGACAAGUGGUCCUUCCUGUCAGAGAAAUUUACUCCUAGACAGAGGAGCAAGCUGGUAUUCAGACACUGACAGCAGCAGAUACUCAUAUUGGGUUUGCCUGAUUGAAAGUGAUGUGGUUGAUGAUAGCUCAUCAGGAAGCAGGAGGGCACCCUCCCAGAGCCUCAUUGUCCAUGUAAGCAUCACCAAAGUGGAGGUGGGCAUUGAAAACUCAGACCUUGGCUUUGUGUGAGACUCCCCCGCGAGACACCAGGCACUGCAGCUACUGUCAUCUUCUGUGGUUGCUUCACAGGGUGUCCUGCUGUCCUCACUCCAUGUCUUUCCCUGAGCAUGUUAGAAGUGGCAGCAGUGGUGCACCUUAAGCCUCCUGCAAAAGGUGAAGGACAAACAAAGGCAUUGUUAUCAAGUUGUGUGCUUUAGUUUGGAUUAAAACUGUAAAACUUCAGGCACAGUUUUUCAAGGAGAAUCUAUGAAUGACUAAGUGGGUCUGUGCACAGACUCAUAAGCAAAGGAUUUGUCAAUGGGGAGAUUAAGUUCAUUGUAGCUGUCUCUUUGUUAAGUGAUUGGGUCCUUUGAAUAUGUAAGCAAUAUAUUAUGAGGCCUAGAACAAGUAAAAUUAGAUGGAUAUUCAGUUAGGUAGGAUCUCCUUCAUUUUUGUUUGUAAGUGGUGAAGAGACAUACAGGAUCCCCUUGGUUCUGGACCCACUCUGGAUUUCUUUUGGUGGUUGCUCAACUCCUCUUACUGUCUAUAAACAGAAUCUGAGGAGAUUGUCUUUUGUCAGAGUUACAUAUGUGCCUGAAGUUAUAUGGUGUCACAGUUCCAUUUAGCUUUCCUGUAUGAAGAUUUAGAAGAACAGAGAACCUAAAAAAUGCUAAUUUCUUGUCUACUGGAUUUAAAUUAAGCAUACAGGGAUCCAUGCCUCAAAUAAUCCGGUUUGUACAGUUCAAACACAUUCUGCAACUUGAAAAAGAAAGACCCAAUUCAACAACUACUUUAUUUCCUCACCCCAUUACAAUCGUUGCAAUGCAAUUAUGUUAAAUCCAACACAGGAAACCAAUUAUUUUUGUUGAUACAGUGGAAUAUUUACUGCUAGAGAGUGAGAAUAGAGGUCUACCAAGCCAAAGAGAGCAAAUGAUGACUGGUCCUUCAAAUAACUCUAAUUUCUGUAAAAGCAAAUAUCAGCCCUUUCUUUUAUCUUUGUGUAUCAUAUCAUACAGAAGGAGGUCUUGACAUUCUUUGAAAGCUACUCAGAAGCCUCCACAUGAGCUGUGCAUAAAGAGCUGUAGGUAGCACAUGAAAAGUCUCUAAAAACAAUUCUGCCACCGUGGCUAGAUCCACUGGGAUCAAAUAAGGUAGUCUUUAAUUAUAGCCCCCCUGAAAAGCUAUGCAUAUGCAGAAUGUUUCCAGAAUUUGACUAUACCUUGAGACCUGUUUUUGAAGACAAGCCUUUCACAUGUUUUAAAUGGGAUUUAGCCAAUUUAAAGGGAUGAGCUUACACAGUUGCCUUUAUGAUCAGAACCAAAGAUGUUGUAUGACUGAUUUUUUAAAAAUUUAACAUAUGUGCACACUUUGUGGGCAGAGACUUAUCCUAUUGAAAUAAAAACACCUCUGUGAAAAGUUAAGCAUGUCCAUAAGCUUUUGCAGGAUGGGCCUGAUUUUGUGAAAAUGUACUGAAAAACCUGUGUAGUACCUCCUCAGUUCACUUCUAUCAGAAAGCGUGUUAGAGCCUAUGUGUAUUGGCGUGGAAUUGCAGUGUUAGCUGUAUAAAAAAUAGCAUUUUCUUGCAAAAAAUUUCCUGGUUGUUUUAGGAGAUUUUUUUUCUUUGACAGAAAAUGUAUUGAUCUGAUCCUGGGAAAGUGACUGUAGUGCUCAACAGAACAGUUCCUGCCACAUAAUUUUGAUGUUCAUAGGUUGUGUAAUAUUUCAUAUGAAAAGCCUCUGUCAACUUCUACUGACUGCUGAAUCUUAAAAUGAUUCAUCCACACAAAUGUAUUUUUCAGGAAAGCUUCUGAAGCAGGAGACUGACCUCACUGCAAAAUACAAUUUAAUGAAACAUAUGUUGAUUAUAAAAAACCAUCUGUAAUAAACUAGGAGAGGAGAGACUGGUUCCACUGACAGCAAAUGAAGGUUUUCCCAUUAGUUCCCUGAAGUUCGGAGUUUCAGUCUCAAGACAUAAUUACAGGCGCUAAAUUAGUUAAAAGAAGAAAUGAUAUAACACUGUCCUAAGAUGACUAUUCGAAGUGAGCAAUUGCUGCUCUAGUUGCCAUAGGGAUACUGAAUUAAUGCAGAUGAGGUAGGAGAUAUCCAGAAGGCUCUGUGAACACGAGUUUCUCUUCAGCAGCCCAGGGUGACCAAAAGCUGGGAGAUUUCUGCACUUCCAUCGUGCUGGGGGCAGAUGUUGAAAUGGCUGUCUGCGUGCUGCACCUUGCUCACCACUGAAAGUGGAACUUGGCUCUUAGGUGCUUUUGAAAACAUUACCACAAGUUCCCUAGGAGCAAUACUUAGAAACAGCUACUUGCUGCAAAGACUAAAAAACCACCAAUACUGGAUUCAUAAUAAAUCCA